UACGUAGGGUGCAAGCGUUAAUCGGAAUUACUGGGCGUAAAGCGUGCGCAGGCGGUUCGUUGUGUCGGUGGUGAAAGCCCCGGGCUUAACCUGGGAAUGGCCAUGGAAACUGGCGAACUGGAGUGUGGCAGAGGGGGGUGGAAUUCCGCGUGUAGCAGUGAAAUGCGUAGAGAUGCGGAGGAACACCGAUGGCGAAGGCAGCCCCCUGGGCUAACACUGACGCUCAGGCACGAAAGCGUGGGGAGCAAACAGG
rnacentral:rRNA from 1 species